GCUUGCUUCAGCAACACAUAUACUAUAAUUGGAACAAUACAGAGAAGAUUAUCAUGACCCCUGAGCAAAGAUGACAUGGAAAUUUGUGAAGUAUUUCAUAUUUUU